rnacentral:rRNA from 1 species
CUAGGACAACAUCUAUCUGGUUUAUCUUUUGAAGACUUGAAGCAUUUACAAAAUCAUCUAGAAACGAGCUUGUAUAACAUUCGACUAACUAAGGACAAAUUUAUUGGCGAUGAAAUGCAAGAGUUAAACAUGAAUGAAAGCCUCAUGCGUCAGGAAAAUAUAGAGCUACAUAGGAAAUUAAACAUCGUUCAUCAAGAGAAUACGGAAUUACAAAACAAGUUAAAUGAUCAAGGAGCAGUGAACAUGGGAAUAACAAGUCCUUUUACCAUGUGCAACAUUACUGCUCCAACGGACAAAAAAUCAGUUCGCCUGGAUUCAUGCCACGCAGAUUGGGAUGAUGAACCAGAAUCGUCCACCUUGUGCAUACUAUCACUAUCUGGAGAUUGA